UGUACUCUCACACUCCCAAUACUUUUGGAUUGGGAGCGGUGGACUUGGGUGUUGCUGCUUUACUGUGGCUCACCUCAAAUGGAGUAGUGCAACUCUCGGUUGGACAUAGUACGGCGUGAUAAGUGUCUUCGCCGGCGCCUCAUUAGAGGGUGGCCGAUCGGGAGCUCUGUGCUUCAAACCGUCUUCGGACAACAUCUGACA
rnacentral:misc_RNA from 1 species